GAGAAUGCAUAGUAGCUGUCGGCAAAGGAGGAGGAACCAGAAUCUCUCCCAAGAAAUUCUUCAAACAGAAUUUCACACAGGGUAUUCCAUGGAGAAUGAGCCUGGAAUUGUCUCGCCAUUUAAACGAGUAUUCCUAAAAGGUGAAAAGAGUAGAGAUAAGAAAGCCCAUGAGAAGGUGACAGAGAGGCGCCCUCUGCACACUGUGGUGUUGUCAUUGCCUGAGCGCGUCGAGCCAGACAGACUGCUGAGCGACUAUAUUGAGAAGGAGGUAAAGUAUUUAGGUCAGUUAACGUCCAUACCAGGAUACCUGAAUCCCUCCAGUAGGACUGAAAUCCUGCAUUUCAUAGACAAUGCAAAGAGAGCCCACCAGCUUCCGGGACACUUGACUCAGGAGCAUGAUGCUGUGCUCAGCCUGUCUGCCUACAACGUCAAGCUGGCCUGGAGGGACGGGGAGGAUAUCAUCCUCAGGGUGCCCAUCCAUGACAUCGCCGCCGUCUCCUAUGUUCGGGAUGACGCUGCGCACCUGGUGGUCCUGAAGACAGCCCAGGACCCAGGGAUCUCCCCCAGCCAGAGUCUGUGUGCGGAAAGUUCCAGAGGCCUCAGUGCAGGCUCCCUGUCGGAGAGUGCAGUUGGGCCCGUGGAGGCAUGCUGCCUGGUCAUCCUGGCUGCAGAGAGCAAGGUCGCUGCGGAGGAGCUUUGCUGUCUGCUAGGCCAGGUCUUCCAGGUUGUUUACACGGAGUCCACCAUCGACUUUCUGGACAGAGCGAUAUUUGAUGGGGCCUCUACCCCCACCCACCACCUGUCCCUGCAUAGCGGACCAUGGCCAGACCCAUGGGAAGCUGCUCAGGCUGCCCUGGGAGGCCAGCUGGCAGUGGUGGAGCAGUGGCAGAUGGGGAAGAAUGGAAGGCACCCCAGAGCUGCCUCCUGCAUGGCCCACACAGCAUUUUCAGGAGUCUGUUAGUCCAUUGAAAACGCUUCAUC
rnacentral:sRNA from 1 species